ensembl:lncRNA
GGGACAGUGAAAAAUGCAGCAAUCAAAUUAAUCACGCAAAAGGCACAGGCCAAUUACUCACACGCCAUCCAGAGCGCGGCGCCGCCGCCCGAAGAACAGGUGAUAGUUAUCAUUAAAUUAGAGGGAGAUCAGCGACUGGAGCUGCUCCGUCACGCGGGACCUCGAUGAACCUCGGGCCGGGAAGCUGCGUUUCGCCCGCGGGCGCGGUGGCAGCCGAGGCGGCCCAUAUGUUCCUCUCGUUGGAGAGGAGCGGAGGAGAGGGGUUGAGAUAAUGAUUCAUGGAAACGUGGGCGACGCAACACGACAACGACAACGACGACAACAACAACAACAACAACAUCUGGUGGUGCGCCGGUUCCUCACGUGCAUCCGGUGGCUCAGCGGGGUCCCGUAGGGCAAAGCGUCGGGCCGCUGCCAGCUCUGUGGUGCCGGUGCCUAAGAUUUCAUUUGGGAGCGAACACCAUUAUGCCGCCGCCGGAGAGCGACGGGGGAAGGCACGUCGUCGCAAGCGAGGAACGCCACGAUGUCAGCGGUAACUCCGGGAUCACGCAAACACCCCAAGACCAAGAUGGCGACUCCACCGAUGCCGAAAUCAAGUCAAAUUAAAAC